UGUAGAGCUAUGAAAAGGCUUUGGAAACAACAUUAGUUCCUUCCUGCUUAAUAAAGUGAACUUGCACUGUGGCUGUAGCCUGGACUCAGCGUUCAAACAUGACGAAUUGACUUCUGGUGGUAGAGCUGUUUUGAAGAUGCUGAAGAACAAACAGAAUUCCCAGAAUGGAGGAAACUUUCACCAUACUUGAACACAAUGAUUUGGGAUGCCAUUGAAAUACAACUGCUGUUUGGGAAUCUAAAGGCAAUGAUGAAGGUUCACCUCUAUUGAGCCCUCAUGAUGUGGCUUUGCAGUUCAUUACUGUCAGAACAGGACCAGAGCCCAAGUCUCCUGGCUUUCUGAGUUCCAUGCUCUUUCUACUACUUUUGCUGCCUCCUGUUUUAUAUUUCUUA